rnacentral:miRNA from 1 species
ACUUGCACGUUGCUUUCAAUUUGCACCUUGAAAUUUUUAUUUUUAUUUUUGGGAAAAUUAAGGAUACAAACUUUUUCUUUUCACAAAUUUCCAAAAAAACAAUUCAGGGUGCAAAUUGAAAGCAACGUACAUAGAGU